GUGGGCGGCGUUCAAAAAGAUCUACGUUUAUUUCACGUUCCUGACCUCGCCCGCCUUUAAAAGUCCUCGUUGCUCCAGGGCGUAGCUCCGUUACCCUGGGGGGCCUAUGGGGGUGCGGGGUACAGGCACCCAUCGCUCCGGGACACCUUGCCUCAGUGCUCAUCUCUGUCAAAUUAAAGACUCAAGAGCUGUGUGAAGAAGCUGAGCAGCGUCUCCCUGGCCUGGGCGUGGAGUGAGCUGGUCCCCUCAUCACCAGCACCAUAGACCAGGGGAUGAGGUGCUCCUGGGCGGACCAGAGGAUGUCCACUGUGCUGGUGAGUGGCCUGACCCUUGCAUCUCUCUGGGUCAUUGUAGUGCUCCAAACUUGCUCUUUUUCUGUGGCCUGACCCCUGCAUCUCUCUGGGUCAUUGUAGUGCUCCAAACUUGCUCUUUUU